GCUUAGUGGUACUGCAGUCCCGGUGUACAUAAAAGGAAAAGUAAUAUAUCUCUAAGCGUCACUUUAUUAUACGGAGUUGUUCCAGCUGAUUUUUAAGGACUAAGACAAGCCGUUAUGUCUCCUCAUUGCCCACGCAGCUAACUUGAUAGGGAGGAUAUUCCAAAUAGGAUGUAGUUGCAAUGCUGAUGUUGCAUAGUAUGUGGCAUUGGCAGCCAUAUCACUUCCAAACUGGGAUACGGUGACUACUUUUUCUGAGAAGAAGCUUGGUGUCUGAAGGAAGAGUCUUUCACAAUCCCUAUUCAAAGUGCAUUUACCUGAUUGCCGCUAAACACAUCUCUCUCUCUACAUCAGAUCGCAACUGCACAGAGUGAACUCAGACCAUUAAAGAAGAGAAUAAGAAAGCUUCUCGUUCUCCCAAAUGGAUCUCUUAAGCACACAGCUGAUGGGAUGCCAGCAGAAUGCUAGCAGCUACAUCUAAUCAAACCACUGAUACUGCUUUGAUUUUUGAGGAGUUCAACUCUUGAUUGAGUUUGGCAGCCCUGCACCCACAAGGCUAUGCCUGGGAACUGCAAGGCAGAGAAAAAACAAUUCUUUCUGUCUUUGCAAAAAUCUUGAUUGAAUAAAAUUAUUUCUUUAUUCUUAAAUCUUCUUUUACAAGUGGGUAUGAGCACUAUUUUUCAGUUGCUAUAUCCCAUCAAAGUUCAGUUCUCAUCACUGUUAAGUUCUGCUGCUCAUUUUGAAUGCAAAAGAAGAUACCUAAAAGAACCUGUGGGCUUUGCUUUUUUGUGAUGCAUUCUGAACUCCUCCCAUCUGAAACAGGCACAACUAACGUGCCUUACAGGGGCUUCUGAUUUGUCUUGCUGUGGUUGGAAAUUUUUAAAGGGUUUUUUCAGCAUAUGGGAGACAUGAUAUAUUGAUUCAAUUUGAAAAUCCUCAGAUAUUAUCACUGCACUCCAUCUUGUGGAAGAGACAACAACAUGUUUUAAAAUGAU